UAGGGAAUUUUCCGCAAUGGGCGAAAGCCUGACGGAGCAAUGCCGCGUGGAGGUGGAAGGCCUACGGGUCGCCAACUUCUUUUCUCGGAGAAGAAACAAUGACGGUAUCUGAGGAAUAAGCAUCGGCUAACUCUGUGCCAG
rnacentral:rRNA from 1 species